rnacentral:lncRNA from 1 species
AUAAUCCUAGAUUUGUCUAAAAUAGAGAACUUGCACAUUAACACUGAAGUCUUCGAGAGGAUGACCAAACUUAGAUUGCUUAAGGUUUGCUAUGCUCACAAAUCUGGAGGCUUUGAAUACCUUAUCCAAAAACAGCACUGUGCUAACAUCAGUCUCUCCAAAGGCACAAAUGAAGUAAGAAUACCUUUAGACUCAAAUGUGACUCUUUCUAGGGACUUUCUUACUUUAUCGAAUGAUUUGCGAUGCCUCUAUUGGCAUGGAUAUCCCAUUGAAACUUUGCCACCUCAUUUUUAUCCACAAAACCUUGUUGAACUUAACAUGUCAUACAGCAACAUGACAGAGUUUUGGACGAAGAGGAAGGUAUAUUUAUUAGCUCACUAUUUUAUUUCUCAUCUAUAUGAUAUUAAAUUCACGGCUAAAUGAUUUGAAUUUUUAUUUUGACAGAAAUUUGAUAAAUUGAAGUUCAUCAAACUAAGUCAUUCCCAGAAACUCAUUAGGACACCGGAUUUCACAGGGAUGCCAAACCUUGAGAUAAUAAUUCUUCAAGGCUGCACAGAAUUAACUGAGGUUCACUCCUCUCUGAGUUCUCUUAGAAGCCUCAAAUUAUUAAAUCUGAAAGACUGCUCAAAUCUUCAAAAUUUUCCUAGUGAAAUUCAUACAUCUUCUCUUGAGAUCCUCAUACUGUCUGGAUGCUCAAAGCUUCAGACAUUUCCUGUGAUCAAGGGUGAUAUGGACCGCUUGUCAGAGCUUUAUCUAGAUGACACUGCUAUACAAGCACUACCUCCAUCUAUUGAAAAGCUUACGGGCCUUGUUCUUUUGAGUGCCAGGAAUUGUGCACAUCUAAAACACCUUCCUUGCAACUUUGGUAAUGUUUUAAAGCAGCUGAGAACUAUUUACUUUUCUGGCUGCUCUCAUCUUAAGCAAUUGCUAGAGAAGUUGGAGAAGUUGGAAAGUUUGGAAGAACUUGAUGUAGGUGGAACGACAAUAACACAUCCACCGCUCUCCAUAUGCUCUUUGGUGAAGCUUAAAGUGCUGUCCUUCCACAGAUGUGAAGGAUUUCCAUUUGUAAACAUCAGAGGAACCAUGCAGGAAGAAUUAGACAGGAACAAUAUCAGAAAAUGUUUUUUUAGAAGUUUAUCCUAUUUAACAAGUCUAGAUUUAAGCUACUGCAAUUUGGAUGAUGUGUCAAUCCCUACGGAAUUGGGAAUGUUAUACUCUUUGAAGAAAUUAAAUCUGAGCGGAAACAACUUUUCCAGGUUACCUCCUGAAACCAUUGCCAAUUAUCUCGAAGUUAUUUGUUUGGCAGACUGCAAUGGUCUUUCCUCGUUGCCACCUCUCCCAUGCAACAUAUAUUGGAUAGAAGCACCGAACUGCCCUGAACUAGUUAGUGUACACGUACCAAAGCUGAAUAACUUGUGCAUGAUGGGUUUCAAUUUUAUUAAUUGCUUCAGAUUGGGUAAUGGCAAUGCAACAACUAUAGCAGUUGAGCUACUGAGACAACUUAUUCGUAAGGUCUCUCCAUCUCUCAAGACCUUUAUUAUUUUUUUUUUCAGGUUAAUAAGCUCCUAACUCUUGCCUUUCAUAGUAUUGGAUCUCUGUCUAACACACAAUCAUGAUUUUUCAUGAUACAGGUACCAUCUCAUUUUUUUGCUGAAUUUACUAUUAUUGUUCCUGGAAAUCGAAUUCCAGUAUGGUCCGAUUUCGAGUCCAGGGGUUCUUCAGUGCGAAUAAGUGUGCCUGGGGAUUUCUACUGGAACUAUUUCAGGGGGUUUGCUUUUUGGGCCGUUCUUGAAGUCAAUUAUGACCAUGACUCUCUAGCAAUCUCCAACAACGAUCCAACCAUGCAAAUGCAAUUCUGCCUUGAAUUUUAUUUGAUGCACAAAAACAAGAAGUUGAUUUCCGAUACUGGCAUUGUUCUCAAUAGAAGUUACGAGAUUAAAGGGGAUCAUGAGUGGUUGCGUCUUAUCCCAUCUUGUACACUCAAGUUGAUAAGGGGCUCCUCAACUCAGCUCAAAGCUGUUAUUCUCACUCAUGGCAAUGUCUUGCGGGUGAAAAAUUGCGGCCUAUUCCCGAUGUUUGAUGACUGCAAGCCUGCGAAGAUGCUUAUAGAAGGAAGAUCACAGAAGGACGAACUUAAUCAUCAAAGAAAUUCUGGACUUCAUCGUAGACAAUUUCUUCGAAGAUCACGCAACUACGAACUUAAUCGUAAAAGAUGGUUGAGACUUUAUCGUAACAGAUUUCUUCCAAGAUCACGCAACUACGAACUUAAUCAUAAAAGACGUUUUGGACUUUAUCGUAACAGAUUCGUUCCAAGAUUUGAUUUGAAUACAUUGGAAACCGGAUUUGAUUUGGAUGCAUUGGAAACCGGGCCAGACGCAUUUCUUCAAAGAUUUGAUAUGGAUACCCGGCCUGACGUGCGGAAAAGGAUAAAAAUCGGGUUGGAUAGUAAAAACGAGUAAAAUCGCCAAAACUGGGUUUUUGAUUUCUCAGCUUUAAAAGCAGCAAUCUCCUCUCCAGCAAGAACCGGUAAUGCCUUUUUCGGCUCCUCUGGCUCUAGAGCCGGUGCCUCUGAUUUUUGUUUCUCGGUAAGAUGCUUUUCCACGCUUAGAGAUACACAAAUUUAUUCUCAAAUGAAAUGAGCACCGUUAUUUUGCCGGUUUAUAAUUUAUAAUUUAUAAAUAAUUUAUAUUUUUAAUAUAUAAAUUAUAUUUAGUAUAUAUUAUAAGAUUCAUCUUCUCCGUGAAUUGUUUUAUUAAAAUUUUAUGCUAUAUAGAAAUUAUAAUAUCGUUAAUUUAUUUAAAAUAAUUAUAAAUUUCAAUUAGUCUAGCAAAGUUUUAGUUAGAGUUUAUUAUACAAACAAUAUUUUUUUUUAUCCUAGAUAAUUCUUUAUAAAAUAUAAAGUUCUAAAAUUCAAAUAAUUCAAUGUAGAUAAUAUACAACAAAAUAAUAGAUAGAUAAAAAAAAUUUAAAUAAUUUAAUGUGGAUAAUUCUAUGUUAAAUUAAAAAUAUAAAUAAAGAAUACAGAAUCUCAGAAGAUAAAGUUAGAUAAACAAAAUUAACUAUUCACUAAAUUAAGGAGGAUAAAAAAUCAGUUAAAUUAAAUCUAAACUUACAAUUAAUUUUUAUUAUAUUGUUCAUAUAUCUAUUCCUUAGUGCGUAACCUUACCAUAUUUUGAAGCAUUUUUCCUCAAAUUGCAAUUAGAAUAGUUGAAAAAUCUGAGAUUUCUUAUUGAAGCUGUCAUAGUAAAAGUUACGGAUGGAGAGUCAUCACUAUUUUAUAUCCCAAUAACUCGAUCCUAAUAAAAAUGUUAUCUGACAUCAAUUAAUAAAUAGAGAGUGUUAGAGUAAUUGUGAUAGAUCGGGAUAAGAAAAAAAAAAUAAUGAAAAAUUGAUUUAAGAUAUGAAUAUCUUUAUAGUCCAAAUAAAAUUAAAAAAUGAACAAUAAAAAUAUAAAAAAAAAUACAUGCAAGAGCAAUACAAAAACGAUACUUGCUCGGAUCUAAGCUUCGUGUUUUUUCCAAUCUUCUUCAUUUAACAAUGAUAUUAAUGAAAAAUCAAAUAAAAAGACAAAUGAACCAAGAGAGAAUUAUAAAAGAAAUGGAAGAGAAGGAAAAAAAUUAUAUAGUAAAAAAAAAGUUAAAUAUAUAUAUUCCAAAUAAAAUUUAAAAAAAAGGAAAAAUAUAUGGAAGAGCUAAUGUUAUCUUUGACGAAGAAAAAAUUAUUUUGUUGUUCAUAAUCUGAAAAACAAAAAUAGCAAAAUUUAAUAUAAAUAUAAAGAAAUAUGAAUUAUUAAAAAAAAAAGAUAAACAAAGAAACUAAAAAAAAAAAAGUAAAAAACAAUCGUUGAAUCAAAAGAUAGAGAACCAUAGAAUUAUAUAAAUAUUUAGCUACAAUUUACAAAUUUUUAAAAAAUAGAAAAUAUUUUUAGAUUUUUAGAUGAGAUUGUUAGAAGAUAAUUAAACUAGUUAAAAGAGAUUUAGAAUUUGAUUUUUUUAAAUAAAUUAUUAGUGAUAAUAAUGGAAAUAAUAUUAUUUUUAGUUGACAAAUACCUAUAGUUUUUUUUUUUUGUUAAAAAUGAAUUAAAAGUCUAGAAAAUUUGAAAACAACGAAAAAGAGGAAUUCUGAAACCAAAAGAUGCCAAGUCAGCAUUUACAUAAAAUUUUAUGCUUCAAUGGAAAUUACUUUUGCCUAGAUCGGGUCCAUAGCUAUGCUUAUGGACCAAAUAGUAAGGAUUUUUUAAAAAAUAUUUCAAUUUUAUCUCUUUUUUCAAGUGUGUGGUCAGAAAUACCUUUGUUUUAAUAAAAAAUAUUAUUCUUAUUAGUUUGGUCCAUGAGUAGGCCAUACACCCGUAAAAUUAACCCAAUUUCAAUACAAUAAAUUUUAUUUGAACAGCAAGAAAAAAAAAAAUUAUUACUCAAGUUCCAAAUAUAUGGAUGGAUUAUUUUUCUUAAAUUUCUAUUUUCUAUUAUUAAACAAUCUAUAAAAUAGCUAAUUGGAAGAUAAUCAUUUAUACAAUAAAAAAAAAAAAGUUAAUUGAUAUGCUUAAGGUGUAAAUUAAAAAAGAAAGAGACCAAUAAAUAAAAAAAAAAAAUAAAAAGAGAAAAAAAAGACGAAGUUUAAGUAGACAAAAGAAAAAUUAUGAAGAAAAAGAUGAAUAUGGUCUGACAUUUGCUGGAAAUCAGAAACAUAAAUAUAAAAAUUAAAUAGCUAGCUAAAAGAAAUAUUUAAUUGGGAUUUUAUAUAUUUUAAAAUGAUAAAUUUUGUUAUGAUUAUUUUUUGAAAUUAUAAAAAUUUCGCAUUAGACGGUAUGAAAUAAAAAUUUUAUGUUGUUGAGUUUUAAUCAUAAAAUCAGAGAAUGAAAGAGAACAAAAAUAAAUAACACGGUCAAUUUUUUUUCUUUUAUUCUAGGGUGAGCCCACGCCUACACUAGGUAUAGUGGACCUCCGCCGCGGCCUAAAAGCAACUAAAUUGCAUUAAGGUAAGAUCAUUGCCUGUACACGUGUUUCUAUUUUGUUAUAAUACCAAAUAGGUCCAAUAUAUUAAAAAAUGCACAAACGCAUCCUUACAUCUAAAAUUACUCAAAUUUUCGUCAAAUGGCAAAUAAAAUGACCAUACUAACCUUUAUAAUAUACAAAAUUUUCUUUACAAUUAAUUACUUCUAUUCCUCCAUCUCUUUCCUUGAAUCCUUCACAGAAACAGAAAACGGUCAUCUCUCUCUUUAAUGCCGUGAUCUGCACUUUCUGAACUCUCUCAUUUUCACAAAUCUGAACCAUAAAUUAAGCAUGGAGCAAUCUAUGUGAGAGCAAGGCCUUCAAAAAUGAAAUUACGAACAAAUAAAUGAAUUUAAGCAUAGGCUAAUUUCCUUUCCCUUUCUCAUGGUAGAGAUGCCAUUAUUGCUAUUUCAUUAUUUUUUUUUCCUUUUCCUAUCACCGGCUCAUGUACGGCUAGCAGCGACCUCCUCCCUUUGCCUCCCCGCCGUUCUCUCUCUCCAUUUCUUUUCCGAUUGGAGCAAUGACAGGGUGUGAGCUGCCUUCGUUUUCCGAAUGGAGUGGCUCCACCUCAGUCUCCUUCAAUAUUUUAUUUCAAUUUUCUGGCGAGACCACGGACCGACCGGUUAGACUCUUCGACCGCUCCCUCCUCCUCUCUUGUCGAACGAAGCAGGCCAUAGGUCCAAGAGUUGAGCUAACGGGAUGGAAAAGAGACAUUUUCGCUGAUAACGUGAUUCUCCGGCCAACCUUGAUUGGUUGCUCGCCGGAAACUAAGAGGCGGCUGAGGAGACACUGGACCAAAGCUUGCGAUCUCAUACCACGUUACCCAAGAGAAAAGGAAAGUCUUUUUUGUGGUUUUGUUUCAAUUAGCUAAUUCUAGAAGGAUUUUAGUUUGGGUUAGUAAUUUUUUAUGGUUUCGGUUGAAACUGUCCAAUUAGCUAAUUCUAUAAGGGUAGAAUUGUCUUUUUGUUUGUUUUCUUUGACCUUAAUUUAUGAGGUAGACUAAUUUUGGACAGAGGGAGGUAGUUGUGCUACAGAUAAUUAAUUUAGGGAGAUGUGUUAGUUUUAAAAUAUUAUAUAAAUAUGAUUAUAAUUUAGAGAGGUAUUUUUUUUUUCUCCUUUAUCCUUUUAACCUAUGGCACAUUAUGUUUUUUUUUUUUUCUUUUGCAUUUUUUUUUUCUUCUUCUUCUUUAUGGCGGGCAUGAAAUCUGCCUCCGGCGUCAGGAUGGGCAUAAGAGUUGUUGUUGAUAGCUUCACCGGAUUUGAUUCCAUUGCUGUUUCUGUGUUUUGUUUCUGUUCUUCUUCUUCUUAUUAUUAUCUCGAUUUAAAUUCUAUUUUCAUUUUUGUUCUUCUUCUUCUUUUCUUAUUAUCUAGAUUUGAUUUCAACUACCAUAUAAUUGUCACAAUUAUGAAUAUUUUUGGACCAAAUUUUAAGCACAUACCUUCAAAUCAGUUUGUAUAUUCAAUAAUGUCAUUCCUAAAGUACUUAUCAGCAGUCAUAAAACUUAUUUGAUAAAGAAAGAAAACCCUAAUUGAAAUAACCUGAUGAAUACAUAAAGUAAGAUUAAAUAAUACUUCUUCUGUCUUAUAUUUUCUAUCCUGAUUUCUUUUCUCAUUUAUUCUAAAUUAAUAUUCUAUAUUCUUUUUUAGAAGAAGAUAAUUUUUAAAUUUUUUAUUUUAUUCCUAUUUCAAAAACUAUUGUCUCAAAUGCAUUUUUAAUACCGUGAAAGUCAAACCAGAACAUUGUACGACCUAAGGAGUACUUAAUUUAUUAUAAUUAUAUCCAAUAUAGAUAUUUAAUUUUAUCGAUCAAGAAUCUCAAGUAAAAAAAAAGUACGAGGAAUUCUUCGAGGUGUCAAAAUGGGUUAUAAUAUGCGAAUACAAUUUGUCUAACAUGUGAAAUAAAUGAGUGAGGGUUGAGGUUAAACGAGUUCGUGUCAUAAAUGGUGACCCAUUUAUGACACGAAUAUAAACGUAUCGCUUCACGGGUUGACAUAUGGGUUAGGCGAGUGAUCCGUUUACUUUAGGGUAAAGAGAAAAUUUUAAUGUCAAAUAUAAAUACACAACUAAAAUCCUAUUUAAAAUUUAUUGUUAUAUUAAUUUAUUGUUACUUUAGUUACGAAUCUGGGAAUAAAAUUUAUUUUUAAAUAUGAUUUGAGUUAAAAAUGUUAAAACUUAAAAAUAUUAUGAGCAGGUUAAGUGAGUCAUAUACAGGCUAAUACGACCUACGCAACUUGUUUAUAAUAUUAGGCGGGUUAUACGGGUCAUAUACGGGUUAAUACAAUUCACUUAACCUGCUUAUGAUAUUAGGUGAAUUACAUGUAUAGUAUUCAUAUCACCUGCUUAAUUUUCAUGUUGUGUUUGUAUUGAGAAAUUUAACACAAUUAUUAAACAAAUUAUGUUUAUAUUAACCCUAACAGUGUUGCGUGUUAAGCAAAUUCAUGUUGAAUUUCUAGUCUAUUUCUAAUGAAUUAAAAAAUAAGAAAAAUAAAAAUUAAUUAAACAAAAUAUCUUAAUUAACAAAAUCUACGAGCAUAUUGAUAAAAUUAUGUAUCUUAAUAUUAAUAAACAUAUUAAUAAAACUUAUCUAAUUAUUAUUUUUUUCACAUUAAGCUAUGAGCGAUCACAUAAGACACUCGAGUGAACUGCUUCAAUUUCUGGUUGAAUUUCUUCUGGCUAGGUGUCAUCUCUAUUGCUAAAUAUAUCACGAUAAGAUAUGUUGCCUUAUUAGCGAUAUGAUGAUAUUUUAGUCUAUCCUAAUAACAGUUCGUAAAAAGCUCUGUAAGUCCAACUGAUGGGAUCAGCAGUGUAUUAGGAGUUCUACCAGCUAUUAGUUCCUGAUUAGAAUCCUAUCCAAAUAUUUUCAAUCUAGCUGUUGGGCCCAAUUAGCUAUCCGCUGCAUCAAAAAGUUAAAACAAACGCCCUCUAAAUAACGACUUUCCCAUUGGACAAACAGCACAUUGGGAAUAGGCCACAUUUUUUCACCCGCAAGCCUUUGCCACGAGUGUGCAGAACAGCCUUUAGCUGCGUCCAACUACCCAUCUUCCUUGUCGUAGUGAAUGAACAUGACGGUAUAUAAUGCAACCACAAAUGAUCUGACUCAACCUUGCUACUUCUAUUUAUAAAAAAUCCAGUAUCAGGAAUCACCUUGUAGUUGUUAUGCACCAAAUAAAGUUCAAAUCCGCAUUGCAUUUCCAUGGCUGUAUCAUUAUCAGAGUCAUAAUCAUCGACUUCAAAAACAGCCCAAAAAGCUAAACCCCUCAAACUUUCCUUGUACCAAUCUCCAGGCAGAUUGAUACUCUUUGAAGGGUGACUCUGCUCGUGCUCAGACCACACUGGAAUCCCACCUCCAGGAAUAAUAACAGUAAAUUCAGUGAAUGAUACCUGCAUCAUACAAAACAAGAAAAUUUAUUUNNNNNNNNNNNNNNNNNNNNNNNNNNNNNNNNNNNNNNNNNNNNNNNNNNNNNNNNNNNNNNNNNNNNNNNNNNNNNNNNNNNNNNNNNNNNNNNNNNNNNNNNNNNNNNNNNNNNNNNNNNNNNNNNNNNNNNNNNNNNNNNNNNNNNNNNNNNNNNNNNNNNNNNNNNNNNNNNNNNNNNNNNNNNCUACAUUGACUAGUUCUGGGCAAUUUUGUGCUUCUACACAAUGUGUCUUGGGCGGAAGAGAUGGCACUGAGACAAGAUUGAUACAUUCUGCCAAACAAAUAACUUGUAGAUUCUUAAGUUUGGCAAAAGUUUGAGAGGGUAAUGUGUAAAAGUAGUUUCCACUCAGGUUUAAUUCCUUCAAAGACUCUAACAGGCCAAAUUCUUUAGGGAUUGAUACUUCUGUCAAAUUGCAGUAGCUGAGAUCAAGACUCGUUAAACAGGAUAAACUUCCAUAAAAAUAUCGUGACAAAUUCUCUCUAGUUUCUUCCAGCAGAUUCUGUUCUGGGUUUACAAAUGGAAAAUUCUCACACUCACGAAAGGAAAGUACUUUAAGCUUUGUAAAAGAGCAUAUAGAGAGUGGUGGCUUUUUCAUUGUCACUUUAUCUAGAUAAAGUUCUUCCAAGUUCUCCAGCCAUUCUAGCUCCUUCAGCAAUGUGUAAUGAUUGGGGCAUCCUGAAAAAUAAAUAGUCUUCAGAUGCAUUAAAUGGCCAAUGCUUGUUGGAAGAUCCCAAAGAUAUUUACAAUUCUUGGCACUCAAAAGAACAAGACCCGUAAGCUUUUCAAUAGAUGAAGGUAGUGCUUGUAUAGCAGUGUCAUCUAGAUAAAGCUCCGACAAGAAUUCCAUAUUAGCCUUAAUCUCAGGAAAUUUCUUAAGCAGUGAGCAUCCAGAGAGUAUGAGAAUCUCAAGAGACAUUGUACGAAGUUCACUUGGAAAGGAUUGAAGAAGUGAGCAGUCUUUCAGAUUUAAUAAUCUGAGGUUUUUGAGAGAACCCAGAGACGGAUGAGCCUGUAUUAAACUUUUGCACCCUUCGAGAAUAAGUACCUCAAGCUUUUGGACCCCAUAAAAAUCUGGUGUCAUAGUGAGUUUCUGACACUGACUGAGUUUGAUGAACCUCAAAUUGUCGAAACACUGUCAAAUAAAAAAGAAAAUCAAACUACUUGGCUGUGAAUCUCACAUCAUAUGGACCAAAAUGAAAAUACUUGACAACAAUACCUUCCUUUCUGUUGGAAGCUUUGUUAUGCUGCUGUAUGACAUAUUGAGUUCAACAAGGUUCACUGGAUAAAAUUUUGAUGGCAAAUUUUGGGGGCAUCCAUGCCAGUACAAGCACCGUAAGUCAUUAGACAAUUUUGAAAACUCUCCAUAAAGAAUUGCACGAGACUUUUUGGGUUGCCUUGUAGCAUAUUUUCUUGAAUUUUGGGUAAGGUAUUCAAAACCCCCAGAAUGGUCAACAUAGCAGAUCUUAAGCACUCUAAGGUGCUUCAUCCUCCAGAAGACUCCGGUAUCAAUAACUAAAUUGCCUACCUUAGACAAAUCCAGGAUCAUACCCUCAAUAUUGUCUGUCGCCUGCAACAUAUAUAGGGAAGAGAUAGUCUUAGAAAAUCAUUUAAGCAUGUAAAAUUGCAAGUUGCAAGUAAAAGAAUUAACUUUCAUGGGAAUGAUUUCUCACCGCAUUUUCUUCCAACACUCGGUACACAUCUCCGUGAUCCCACAAUCUGCUGCGUUCACCGGGCUUUNNNNNNNNNNNNNNNNNNNNNNNNNNNNNNNNNNNNNNNNNNNNNNNNNNNNNNNNNNNNNNNNNNNNNNNNNNNNNNNNNNNNNNNNNNNNNNNNNNNNNNNNNNNNNNNNNNNNNNNNNNNNNNNNNNNNNNNNNNNNNNNNNNNNNNNNNNNNNNNNNNNNNNNNNNNNNNNNNNNNNNNNNNNNNNNNNNNNNNNNNNNNAAGUUUCUGCAAUUCACUUUGCCAUUCAUUUUCAUUCUUGGGACCAAAAAAGGAACCAAGAACCUUCAGAGCUAAAGGAACACCUUCAGCAUACUUCACUAUAAGGCGCGAGAGCUCCAUGAAUUUAAUGAAUUUAUCUACAGGAUAUCUAUUCUGGACGGCAUAUUGAGUGAACAAAGAAAGUGAUUCAUUAUGGUUUAGACAUUUAGGCUUAUAAAUUUCAUCCACUCCACGUGCAAGUAGUAAGUUGCGAUCUGUAGUUGUUAUAAUAAUCCUACUACCAGGACCAAACCAGUCAUGAUCCGCUGCUAAGGCUUCCAACUCUUCGCCAUUAUACACACCAUCAAGAACAAUAAGAACACGCAUAUAUUGUAACCUUUCCCUUAUUGCAUCAAAAUUGCUACCCAGGUUUCUUAUUGUCUGGAUAUCUUCCUUUAAUAGUUUAGAAAGAAGCUGUUCUUGUAAAUGUUGAAGACCGAAUGUUUCUGCUACUUUUCCAACUCUUUCAAGAAAGCAAUAAUUUUUGAAUUGGCAAUAUAUACUGUCAUAAACAGCUUUAGCUAUGGUUGUUUUACCAAUUCCUCCCAUUCCCCAUAUUCCAACUAUGCGAACAUCAUCCAACCCCAGACGUAAUUUUGAUUUCAUUUCCUCUAUUCUGGAAUCCAUUCCAACUAGGCCUUUAGCUCUUUUGGGGGACGUACGACUCAGUUUUUUCAGGAUAUAGAUUACAAUUUCAUCAAUAAGAGUAGGAAUAUCCCUGCAGAAUUGGAAACGGAUGAAAUGAAAAGGUCAAACAAAAACAUAAAUAAAAAGACUGACAAAAUGCAAUUUAAGGUGCCCAGAAAUGAAGAAGAUUAUAAGCAGAGUGUUCACAGUCCAACUACAAAAUGAACAUCAACAAAGCUAUUAUAAAAUGGAAUGUAUUACCUAUCUCUCGCAUCCCAUCCAGAUUUGUUGCCUGCCUUUAGAAGAGCUAAUGUCCACCCCUCAACCUUCUCAGGAUAUUUAGAUAUUGACUUGGCAAAAUUUUUUCCAAACCUACCAGUCUGCUUUCGCACAUCUGAUGGAUCCACAUUGUAGAAUAUUGGCAAAACUGUAUCUCUCAUUGUAUAUUUCUGUUCUUCCGUCUCUGAAUCUGGGAUACGUUCAGUGAUCUUCAUGAGUUCAUCCAAGCAAAAAGAGGAAGAACCAUACUUCUUAGAAAGAACUACGACACAAAAUCUCGACUCCUGAAUCGCUUUAAGGAGUGCAGGAGUGAUUAUUUUCCCUUUGUCAAGACUCCUAUCAUCUUUGUAGGUUCUAAUCCCUUUUUCAGUCAAAGCGUUAUACAAAUUGCUAACAAACUCGUGCCUGACUUCACCUCUGAAACUCAAGAAAACGUCAUAUUCCCAAGAACUGGAAGCAACAGCAACUUUUGCAGCAUCCGGAGCAGUCACAUGAGCUUUAUGUGUAGUUUUCACGGUAGCAGAAUCAGAGGUUAUGGCCGCCGGAGUUGCAGAAUGUGCAGUCAUAGUUUCCACACUUACAGAAGAAAAAGAAGACGGUGCAGUCAUAGUCUCAGCUCCAGGAUCCACGGUAGAAUAGCCCGCAGCUCCACCGGUGCUGAGGUUAGAACCCAUAGGAGAGUACAAGAAAAGGAAUAACUGGACGAAUGGGAACUGAAAAUGUUCAAAAUUUUUAACAUAACCGCGUUCGAUGAAGCAAUUUAUAGAUAAUUAAGGGAAUCGAGAAAAUUUGACUUGGACAAUUCACAUGCAGAAUACUGAACAAGUCAACUAACAUUUUAACAAACAGCUGAGGAAUUUUUAUUAAUGCUAAUAUUGUUCGUACAAGUAACAACAGGAUGCUCUUUCGGAUUUUGUCGGGAAGUGCCAUGUAACUUCGUUUUCAACCUUCAGUUAAUCAUUAAAGCCAUGCCUCAAUCGGAUCCUCACACGACACUGCCGGAGCCACGGGGGCCUGUGGGCCACCGCCCCCCUGACUUCGAUAAAACUUUCUAGGGCGCCUUCAGUCACAUCAUCACGUUUGAAGUCCUGAGAUCAAAAAGCCAGAGGCUGCAGUUUUUUGGUUUUUUUUUUUUAAUUUUAUUUUUUAGUUUAGUUAUUUAUAUAGUUUUAGCUAGUUAUUUUUAAUUAGUUUUUAUAUAUAAGAAAAGUUUUAGUUAAUUUUUAUAUAAAUUCAAUUAACUUAAAUAUAUAUAUAAAGGCAUCUAAAGUUUCACAAUUUUAAUAAAUUAUGUUUUGUUUCUAUUGGAUGACUUAUAUCAUUAAUUUUAAUUUUACAUUCUUUUUUAAAUUUAGCUUUGAAUUUUGAAUUUGAUUCCAUUAUAUGAAUACAUAAAAUUCACAUAAAUAUUAAAAUAUAUAAUAGUAUUAUAAAUUUAUAUUUCAAUUGCUUAUUAUUUGCUAUUUAAUUAAAAUAUAACAACUUAAACAAACUUUAGAAUUAUAAAUUCAUUGAAUAAACACAUAUGAUAUUUUAUUUAUUCAAAAAGAUAGAUUUAAUAUUUCAGUCCAUGAUUCUAUUUUAAUAAUUUUUAGAAAAUAAUAUAAAAUUGAAUUGAUUAAAUUUUAAAAUUACAAUAAAAUAUAUUUAAAAUUUUAAAUACAAAUAUUUAUUUUCAUUGUAAUUUCUAAUGUGUAAAUUUGAGGAUAUUAUUUCUUUUCUAUUGAAAUCAUUAUGUAUGCUAAAAAAAUUUCUAUUAUUUUGUUGUUAUCUAUACUAUUUUCAUUAAAAAAAUUUUGACCACAUCGAAUAUAUUUGUUUAAGUAAUUAUAUUUUUAGUUACUUUUUUAAAUAAAUUUAUUUUUUAUUCACCUUAUGAAGAAAAAAAAUAUUUUCAUCCCCUAUAAAAAAAUUCUUGCUCCGUCACUGCUCACAUGCUCUUUUUCUCCUGGGUAGUGGUUAAACCAGCAAGGUCUUUUUUUUUUUUGAGAAUAGGUUAAACAAGCAAUGUUGUUGUUUGCGGCAGAAGGAAAUAAAAAAAAAAAUCUAAAUUAAUCAACCAAAGAUGAAAAAAAAAAAAUAAUAAUAUGCUGGGAUAAUACAGGAUCCAAAAAAUCAGGAUAUAUAGUAUGAACCCAUGUGACAGAUUGUAUGUUUUUUGUAUGAUCCAAAAAAUCAGAACCCCAAAUUAUGAGUUUUUGUAAUUUUAUCCAUUUUGCAAUUCAAUUCCAAUUAACAGUUUUCCUGCAAUUAUAUUGUGUAAAUCAUUAAAUAUACCCAAAACUUUGCUUCUUUUAAUAAUUACACCCUAAAUGCUUCUCGCCCUCCAAUUGUAACUUUUUGUCACAAUAGUACUCUAAUUGAUAUUGGUCAAAAUCAAUGAAUAAAAUAUAUUAAAUGUGGGUCUCGUAGCUUAUACUUGAGUUAACUUAAUCUAACGAGUAAGUUGGAUAAAUUAUAAAUACCCUAAACUUUGGUGUUUGUGACAAUUGCACCUCAAAAUGACUUUAAUUCUUAGAUACUCCAAUUUUAACUUUUUAUUACAAUUGCACCUCGAAUUCAAAUUAUGAAAAUAUACUGUCAUAAUUGCGCCUUGAAUUCAAAAUUAGAAAUCACAUUUAAUUACAAUUUCACUUUAAAUUCAAAUUUUAUCUUAUUUUAAUAGAGCAAACCCUAAAUUACCAGAAAAAAAAGUAAUCUAUAAGAGAUGAAUUCUGAAAAAGCAAAUUAUGACAAAUAUACUACCAUAAUUAAAUUCUAAAUUCAAAAUUUCAUCUCAUUUUGAUAUUUAAAUCCUAGAUUACUCAAGUAAAUAUGGUGUACUACAAAAACAAUCUUAAACCUCCAAACAUCCAAAUACAAAUUAUGACAAGUUUAUUAAAUAAAAAAUAGAAACUGCGAGUAUUUUGCUUUAUUCUGAACCAAUUGCGGACUAUUUUGCUUUAUUAUGAACUUAUCUCCUUUUAAUUAUUUCUUCUCUAGUAAUCUACGGUCGUCCUAUUAAAAUAAGAUAAAUUUUGAAUUUAGAGUGGAAUUGUAAUUAAAUGUGACUUCUAAUUUGAAUUCAAGGUGCAAUUAUGACAGCGUAUUUGCCAUAAUUUGAAUUUGAGGUGCAGUUAUGAUAAAAAGUUAAAAUUGGAGUAUCUAAAAAUUAAAGUCGUUUUGGGGUGCAAUUAUUAUAAACGCCAAAAUUUAAGGUAUUUAUAAUUUAGCCAACUUAUUCUUUGAUUUAAGUUAACUCAAGUAUGAGUCAUGGAAUCUAUAUUUAAUAUAUUUUAUUCAUUGAUUUGACUAAUUUCAAAUUAGGGAAUAAUUAUGAUAAAAAAUUACAAUUGAAGUGUCUAGGGGAUUAAAUUGAAUUUAGGGUGUAACUAUUAAAAGACGUAAAGUUUAGAGUAUAUUUAAUUGUUUACCCCAUUUAUAUCAUGAUCAGUCAGCACCAUAAUGAUUCCAUUCCUACAACCAAAAGCCAAAUAUUUAUCUCAAAUGAGAAUGUUUCAGAUCAUGCUCUUGUUAAUAAAUACAAUAUUUUCAUUUUUUUUAUGAGCAAAAAUUUCUUUUAUUAUUAAAAUCCAAAAAAAAAUUAAUAUAGCCAAGCAUUUAAACCCAGGUCAUCAGUCCUCCUCAAUAAACCCAUCCUAUCUCAAAGAUGCUAAGUGAAAAAACUCGAUAAAUUAUAUAUCAGCUUGAAGUCUUUUUCGAGAUAACUUAGGCAAUAAAUUAAGUGUCAUCAACUAUGGAUGUGACUGAAUCAAGUUAGAUUUGCAUUCAUUAAUCUUACAGAUAGGAAUGAUUAUUAAGAAUUAGCAGAGCGUUGCUCAAACUAAUAUAGACAAAGUAACAUUCAGUCAAAGAUUCAUUUAAUUUUAUAAUUAAUGCUCAAACCCAAGACUGUCAUUGUAAAGAAAGCAUUUUGCAUCGACUAUAUCAGUCUUUUUACUGAACUAAAAAAUUAGUUAUAUUCAAGAAAUUCAUAAUAUUCAUAAGAAUUCAAAUAGUUGAUAUAUGUAACAAAUUUUAAUUUUAAUAUUAAAUUGAUUAGAUAUAAUGAACCAUGAGACAGGUCAAUGAAAGUGAUAAAUAAAUUCAUAGUCAUAGAUUGUUAUAAUGAAUAAAAAUUUAACAUGUCCAAGAAAUUCAGAAUAUAAAUAUUCAUUUUUUUACUCUUAUAAAUAUUAAUAUCUAUAAAUAUAAAUAAAUAUUAGUUCUUUUCAUUUUUUUACUCUUAUAAAAUUUGUAUAGAUUUUUCUGUGAAUAUAAAUCUAUAAAUUCUGAAGCAUAGAAGCUAACUUUGCAUAAUAUUAGAGUAUUAUUAAUGUUGAAUCGACAUUAUUUCUAUUUUUAUAUUUUAACUGAUUUUUUUUACAUUAAAAUUUUGCCACAAAUUAUUUACUUUCUACUGCGUAUUAAAAGCUAUUUGAGUUGAGAAAAUUCAAAUGCUAUUUGCUUUUUAGAUAACAUGUCAAGUUAUACAUAAGAGAAUUUUUUUUAAAAUUGUAUUAAGCUUGCAAGAAGCAUUUUGGGUAUAGAAAAUAUAUUUACUAUACACGUUAGUUCAAGUUCAAUUUUGACAUGUUUUUAAUAUUUAUAAAUUAUCUAAAAUUCUACUUUUACAUCAUAAAUAGAAAUUUUAACGGCAACAAUAACACAUCUUUCACGAAUUAUAUUAUACUGAUCCAAAGUAAAAAAUAGUAUUAUCCAUACUUUAAAUUUCAAAUUUAAAUUUUUAUAAUUUUAGCUAUUAAAUUAUUUCAUUUUAGUCGCAUAAUUUUAUUAUAAGUGAUUAAUAAUAAAAUAUUUAUUAAUUUUAAUCAAAUUUUAUAUUAUUAUCCGUGCAAUGCAUGAGUGAAUGACUAGUUGCCAAUAGAUCUUGGGCAAAUAAAAAAAAUAUUUAAUUAGGAUUUUAUAUAUUUUAAAAUGAUAAAUCUUGGUAUGAUUAUUUUUUGAAAUUAUAAAAAUUUUGCAUUAGACGGUAUGAAAUAAAAAUUUUAUGUUGUUGAAAUGAGAAUCUAAUUUAAUUUAAAUCAUAAAAUCAGAGAAUGAAAGAGAACAAAAAUAAAUAACACGAUCAAUUUUUUUUCUUUUAUUAUAGGGUGGGCCCAUGCCUACACUAGGUAUAGUGUACAUCCGGGGCCUAAAAACAACUAAAAUGCAUUGAGGUAAGAUCAUUGCAUGUACACGUAUUUCUAUUUUGUUUUAAAUACCAUGUAGGUCCAAUAUAUUAAAAAAUGCCAAACGUUUGCCCGGUAGAAGCCAUUAGGCAUGGCCACGGGUUCAGUUUUAAUCGAAAUUAAAUCGGAAUCGAACUGUAUUGUAGACGAACCGAAACCGGCGGGGGGGAAUUUUAAACCGGAACCAGUAGUUCAAUUAAGGUUCAUGUGAAUCUUAAAAUAUGAACCGGAACCGGCGGUUUUGGUCCGGUUCGAACCGGAUGCACAAAAAAAUUGUAGCUUAAAAUUUUUAUUAAAAAAUUUAUAUUACUUGAUUUAAUUGUAGUUGAUUUGAUUUAUGGUGAAGAGAAGUACAAUGGUUCAUAAGUUAUACAAAGUGGUGAAAAAAAAUACACAUUUUUUUACUUAAUUUAUACAAAAAAUGGUACAUGAAUAGUUGAUUUAUAAAUAAAAAAAAAAUACUUUCGAUUGUAUAAAAAAAUAGUGUAACGAAUAUUUUUUGGUAUAAUAUGUGUUUUUUUAUUUAUUUUUUGGUAAAUAAAUUUUAUUAUUUUUUAAUCAUUUAUUUAUUUAUUUACUGUAAUUUACUAAAUUAUCCAAAAAUAUAGUUGUUAUUUUUCUAUUAUAAGGGACAAUUUGGAAAACUAAUAAAUGAGAAACAUGUAUAAAUAUGAUGAGUUGAUGAUUUUUUAUUUCACAACCAAUUAUAUCAUAACUCUUCUCUUAUUCUCAAUCAAAAUUCUCUCAAAUUUCCAUAUUUCAUUAUUUUUUCUAUUGCUUUAUUUUUCUUAAUAUUGGAAUUAUCUAUUGUUUAUUUUUUAUUUUCUUACAUCUAAUUCCAAAUUCUUUCUUUAAUCUCAAUUUUUUCCAUUCAUAAAUUUACUUCAUUUGAUUUUUUUAAUAAUUUUCUUAGUAUUUGAAAAUAAUAAUUUCCAACUCAUUUCAUUAAUUUUAUAUUCCAUUUAUAGUUUUCUAUAUUAGUGAAUUAGCAAAAUUUGUAAAUUUAAUAUAAUAAUAGUUCUAAGUUAGUUAAUAGAAGUUUUUCUUUUAAAAUUUUAUAAUAAUUUAUUUAGUUAAUAAAAUUUAAACAUUUUAAAAUUAUUAUUUAUUUAUGAAUUCGGAAUCAAAAUUUUAUUAUUUUUUUAAAUUUGCGUAAUGCCGGAACCAAAUCGGAACCGUAAUUCGAGAACCGUAAUUCGAACCGUUGUUUCGCCGGAACCGUGCCGGAACCGGAUGUUUAAAGGCCGAUUCCGGUUCAAAAUUUUAAACAUCUCGAACCGGCGGUUCAGUGAACCGAAACCGGCGUUUCACUGAACUGGCCAUGCCUAGAAGCCAUGCAUUAGUGCUCAUAUAAAAUAAGGAAUAAUGUUAAAUUAAUAAGGAAUAUAAAAUAUUUUAAAAUAAUGAUCUAAUUUUAUAUGAAUUAUUUUUUAUUAAAGUUAUUAUAGUGCUACAAACGCGAAACUUUGGGUCCAUAUCGUGCUUUAUUGUUCGCAUGAUAGAAAGGAUGAAUACGUUUGCUUAUUCAAUCGAGGGAUAUUAUAGUAUAUAUCAGAUUUUAAACUUUAUUUAAAAAAAAUAUCAGUUUAACUAAACUAUUACAUUAAUGUGAGUUUUAUCAUUCAUUUACCUAAUUAUCCUUUGAAAAAAAAAAAAAAAAACCUCUUUACAUUAUAGUCAUAUUUACACAUGCCUCCUUCAAUAUUUUGAAACUGACUUUAACAUUCCUAAUUUUCACUUUCACUGCACAAACGCAUCUUUCCAUCUAAAAUUACUCAAAUUUCCGUCAAACGGCAAAUAAAAUGACCAUACCAACCUUGAUAAUGUACAAAAUUUUCUUCACAAUUAAUUACUUCUAUUCCUCUAUCUCUCUCCUUGAAUCCUUUACAGAAAAGAAACGGUCAUCUCUCUCUCUUUAAUGCCGUGAUCUGCACUUUUUGAACUCUCUCAUUUUCACAAAUCUGAACUAUAAAUUAAGCAUGGAGCAAUCUAUGUGAGAUCAAGACCUUCAAAAAUGAAAUUACGAACAAAUAAAUGGAAAUAAAUGAAUUUAAGCAUAGGCUAAUUUCCUUUCUCUUUUUCAUGGUAGAGUAGAGAUGCCAUUAUUGCUAUUUCAUUAAAUUUUUUUUCCUUUUUCGAUCACCGGCUCAUGUCCGGCUAGCAGUGACAUCCUCACCGCCGCCUUUGCCUCACCGCCGCCUUUGCCUCACCGCCGUUCUCUCUUUCUCCAUUUCUUUUCCGACUGGCACAAUGAUAGAGUGUGAGCUACCUUCGUUUUUCCGAAUGGAGUGGCUCCACCUCAGUCUCCUUCAAUAUUUUAUUUUAAUUUUCUGGCGAGACCAAGGACCGACUGGUUAGACUCUUCCACCGCUCCCUCCUCCUCUCUUGUUGAACGAAAAGCAGGCCAUAGGUCAAAGAGUUGAGCUGACGGGAUGGAGAAGAGAUUAUUUUCGCUGAUAACGUGACUCUCCAGCCAAGCUUGAUUGUUUGCUCGCCGGAAACUAAGAGGCGGCCUAGGAGACGCUGGACCAAAGCUUGCAAUCUCAUAUCACGUUACCCAAGAGAAAAGGAAAGUCUUUUUUGUGGUUUUGGUUCAAUUAGCUAAUUCUAGAAGGUUUUUAGUUUGGGUCAGUAAUUUUUUAUGGUUUUUAUGGUUGACCUUAAUUUACAAGGUAGACUAACAGGAAAGUAGGCUAAUUUUGAACGGAGGGAGGUAGUUGUGCAACGGAUAGUUAAUUUAGGGAGGCAUGUUUUUUUUUUUUUUUUUUUUUUUUUUUUGACAUUGAAAUAUUGCUCAUAUAUUAUUAAGAGAAGAACGAGCAAUACAAGCGGGAAUAAUAUUCCAAGUUCGAAAACAAGCCCCACUAGGAACUGAUUUAGUCAAAACAUGAGCUAUAUCAUUAGCUUGUCUUCUAAUCCAAUCCAAAGUGACAUAGCAUUUAAACUAAGAGUAACUUACAUUCAGAGAUGACAACUCCAAACUCAGACAAGUCUUGGACAGAACUCCUUAUAGCAUAGUAAACUUGCAGGCAAUCAAUCUCAAUCUGAAACGACAAACUAGAGUAGUCUGACAGCAACCAGGACAAAACAUUUCUUAGCGCUUGAGCUUCUGCUAAUGCUGGAGAAGAGCAACCCUGCAAUGAUGACGCUGCUGCUGAUACAAAUCCGCCAUGACAGUUUGAAAUUACGGCACCAAAAGCUCCAUGGCCAACAGAGGGGAGGAGAGCUGCAUCAAAAUUUAUUUUAAAGGUGUCGGCAGGUGGCGGGAGCCAUUGAUUACCUGCAAAAACACCUAUACUUGAAUCAGACGACUUCAGCUGGGGUUUCUUCCAAGAGGCUAGCAUGCUUCUAGCUCGAGUAAUCACGUGAUAAGGUCCUUCUUCUACUUGAUUCCAUUUCAACUCGUUAUGGCUCAACCAAACACUCCAAAGUCCCAUAAUAAAACUCUCAAAGAACUCAAUCUCCCACACCUUGUAUAAAUAUGACUAUAAUUUAGGGAGAUAUUUUUUUUUUCUCAUUUAUCCUUUUAACCUAUCGCACAUUACUUUUUUUUUUCUUUUUUAUUUUUUUUUCUUCUUCUUCUUCUUUAUGGCAGGCGUGAAAUCUGCCUCCGGCGGCAGGAUUGGCAUAAGAGUUGUUGUUGAUUGCUUCACCGGAUUUGAUUCCAUUUCUGUUUCUGUGUUUUGUUUUUGUUCUUCUUCUUCUUAUUAUUAUCUCGAUUUGAUUCUAUUUUCUUUUUUGUUCUUCUUCUUCUUUUCUUAUUAUCUAGAUUUGAUUUCAAUGUAAAAUAUUUUGAUUUCAACUACCAUAUAAUUGUCACAAUUAUGAAUAUUUUUGGACCAAAUUUUAAGCACAUACUUUCAAAUCAGUUUGUAUAUUCAAUGAUGUCAUUCCUAAAUUACUUAUUAGCAGUCAUAAAACUUAUUUGAUAAAGAAAGAAAACUCUACCUGAUGAAUACAAUUUUAAAAAUAAAUUUAAAAAUUGAAGCGUUUAAUAGGUAUAAUUUUAUAAAUUGAAGUGUUUGAUGGGUUAAAAUAAAAGUUUAUGGUACUACAAGGUUAAAGUAACAAAAUUCAAGGUUGAAUUUAUGUAUUCCGCCUUUCAUCAUCAAAUUUCUUUUUUAGAUAUUAUGUUUGGAAAUUAAAAAAUGCAUUAGAGAAUUACUUUUCUACUAUUGAUUCUAGUAAAAUUUUAAAAAAGCAUUUUUUACAGAGGUAAAUGGAGUAAUUAAGUACCUUUCACAUUUGUUUAUAGAGGUAAAUGGAGCUUGGUGGGUAGAUGAUGGAUACUUAGUUGAGAAAUGGUUGUCAUGCAUUUGGAAAUCUCUUGUUUUGAAAGCUAAAGAUUUUUAACAGCUCAUCUAACCUUUCAUUCUCACUAGCUAAUUCCACUUGGCGGCUGGCUAACAAAUCAAAGUGGGUUUAAGUCAUCCUGUCUGCCAAUCACUAUUACUUUAUCACUAUUGCUUAUUCUUCUAGAAAUUGGUUUUUAUGUUUUAUUAUUUUUUUUAAAAAAAGAAUAUACAUAUAUAUAAACUUUUUACAAAUUAUUCCUGUUGCAUUUCAUUUUUCUGUUAUUCUAACGCUGAUUUUCAAAAAUAUCAAUGUAUUUUCAAAUUUUUCUUUUUUUCUAAACAUUUUUAAAUUAAUAAUUGACACCAAAUAGGAGUUGCAUUUUCUAUUUUAAAGUAUGGUUGGCAACAAUUAAAUUUCUUUGUAAUUAUUAUUUACUUUUCAAUUUAUAUCAAUCAACCCGUUGGGUUAAAUAUAAUCCUGUUUACACCGUGUCCGGCUAAUAAAAGGAAGCUCUAUUUACAAGAAUUUUAACACUCACCUUUUUACUUGAAAAACUCGAGUCAUUUUCACUCAAAUUAAACCUAUUACAUUUUUGUAAUUAUUUUGAUUCACAAUUCAUUUUAUAUAUAACAUUUUAUUUGUAAAUUUUAAAUUAAUAGUUUAAAUAUUUUUUAAGUUAUUUGAGAGGUUGUAUAUUUCUUAUUAACUAGCCGGUGAUUUAGCAAAUGAAACGACAAACAUUAACGACAGUCCGAUUAUCCCCAAUUUAGUCCUCCUGUCGUUACAAAGAAAACGACAUGUCUUUGUUGUAAAUGAAUUAGGACACAUGAGAGCAACACAAGAAGGCUAAUGUGACUGUUCUUUGAUCGUUUGACAAAAUGUAGAUUACCAUCUUCAACAAACUAGUACUCGGUUAUAAAUUAUAUAAUUUUCAUUAAUUCAUGCACUUAGACACUUGAUUAUGAAUUUAAUACUUAACCAUAAAAACAAUUACACAAAUGGUUCAGUUGUUCACAAUAACAGUAAACAGUAAAAUUCACAUAUCCAUCCAUUAUGAAACAAAAACAGACCAUUAAUAUAUAUGAAGCAGAAUGCAAUGGUGAAUCUAUCAUUUUAUAUCGGUAAACAUGAGAGUGUUUAUCUUAUCAAUACCAAUAUCAGAAAUGGGCUCAAUGGGUUGCUCGUCUACAGUGGUCGAAGGAACAGAAUUUACAGGUUCUCUGCUGAAUUCAUCUGCAAAAUAAAAGGGAUGAUCAUAUAACAGUUGCCGGUAUCACGGGUGUGAAAUACUAUGGUAAAAGUGCUUGCAUAUAUCACUACAGUUACUGAAUAAGUGGAAACUGUUAGAUUAUUGAUUGUAGUUUACUAAAUUUUAUUAAAAUCAACUUCCGAGGGGUGAGAUGGAAUGAGAUGAAUCCCUUCUCCUUUAACCAGAAGCCUCGAGUUCGAGCCCCGGAUAUGGAGUCUUUUUAAACACUUGGCAGGAAGCGCUUUGCCUGCCAUUAGUCGGGCAGUGGACUUCGGACCCCGGAUGGUUAAAACUUUAAAAAAAAAAAAAUUUAUUAAAAUCAAGCAACAUACACAACAAACAAGCCACAACUUACCAUAAAUUGUAAUUAUAGAAGUUGCAGGAGGAGUCGAGAAGAAGUUGAGGCCAAUGUAAAAGAUAAGUGCUAGUACUACGGUAACCAUCGCAUAAGUUGGGAUGGCCAGUGCCCAAUACCUGAAAAUUGCCAGAAACACAAUUAAGAGUAUUUUAGUCGAUGAAAUAGGUUGACACUCAGAGACUUUCAGCUAUUUAAUUGUAUUAUUUAGUCAAGCAAGCAAUGUGUUUUUGGUAGAGCAAAGAAAUUUUACAAUUACCUAAAGCGGAAAAAGAAAUAAGAUAGUGUGCAUAGUACAGACCUAUUGGGAUAAUAAAAGAUCCCAAUUGAGUGUAAACAAGGUUCAGGAACAUAAGCCCAUACCAAGAAAAUAACUGCACAGGCAGAACAAAAGAAAUCAAUAUGAAAUUAGCAGAGCUACAUGCUCUUGAGUAGAAUUCUUAAAGAGAAAAUACCACUAACCAUUUAUAGCUCAAAUUUUAAAAGCAUAAUAAUUUUCAUAUGAGCACAAAAUAUGUAAAAAUAUUUUUAACAUAUUACUGAAUUAAUUUUGUGUAACAGAUUUAUAAAUCUCAUGAAAUCCAGAUGGACAGGAGCAGGAUAAGGCAUUCUGCAAAACCAUUCCUUGGUAAUGGAAGAGAAAUUCAGAUAUUCAAGAAAGCUGUAAUAUUUAUAUGAUUUUAGACAGCAUAAAUUUCAACAUAAUGGAGUUUUAUAAGAAAUGAACCUAUAGCGACAAUAGUUGUAAUAGACCCAACAAAACCGUACACUUCCGAAGUUUUUAGUCCAUGCUCUCCAGACACUCCAAAGCCUGAAGGCUUGUCAUCAGGGUCUUGAAAGGAUACAGUUCCCCUCUUCCUCUUUGAAAAACUAAGGACUCUUCUAGGACUACUAACAGAAUAGUGAUCUUCCACGACUUGCUCUUCAAAUCAAUCUGGCAUUUCCAUGCACUCAGGGAGUCUAACAAAAGUUCACUUAAUUAGUAUCUAACAAUGUUGAACAACAUCAUGAAAAUAAAAAGGGUCUCAAUGAAGCUUCUACGGGGUAAUUCAGUAAUCCUCUAUACCAUCACGUUGUUAUAAAACUGGGGUAAAAAAUCAUGAAAUUCUGAUUCAAGUAAUAUUUAAGCAAAAAUCUGGAGAAUAUGACAAAAAUAAGAGGUAAAAAAAGAAAUUAGCUACCAAGCCAAACAAGAAUUGUUAUUAACAUGAACAAAAAUUUAAUAACAAUCUAUGGCACUGCCUGUGAUUCGAAAGAAAAACGCACAAUCAAAACAGAAAUAGCCAUUGAAAACAUCAGUGGCAUGCUAUUCUUAUCCUCAAUUUCAUACUUUUUACUUGAAACAAGAAGUCAACUUACAAUGAGAAGAUUAAGUUACAAUAUAUAUUCAAAAGGUGAAACAUACACAUACCUCAUACACAAUUUACAGGGUUAAUCUUACCAUUCUAAGACCAAUUGGAGCUUUAUUUGUGAUACGGAUCCAUCAUCACUCGUCGCUGGAUCACAAGGAGGCAUGGUGAACGACGAAGGAGAUCCAUUGGUGCUUCCUAUUGGACCGAUUACAAGGAGCUGUGCCAAGCGAUAUGGGGCAGCCAUAUCAUUAUUUGUUCAAGCCCAAAUAACACAAGAACUGCAUGAUGUUGCAUUCAACAAGUGUUGUGAGGAACUUGAAGGCAUUCCUAGGCUUCUAAUGUUGUUGGUGGCAUGUGAAGUUGAAGCACUCCAAUAAAUUUGUUUGACUUGCUACAGUGGAGGAAAGCACGCCUGCUACAGUGGAUAUCUUGUAUUCCAUGUAAGAAGACGAUUUUUGAGAUAUUGAAAACUUCAUUUGUUUAAGCUUUGCUUGUACUCCUUUGCAUAGAGUGAUAGUGAGAGAUUGCUUCCUCUAAUUGCAUCAAGAAUUAAGGUAAGCUUAUCAACUUGUUUGUGGCGUUUAUCUUGUUCUUUGCUCGAUUAUUGGUGUUACCGUUUCAGUAUAAACGUGGGGUGCCAUAGAGCGUUUAAUCUCGAUUAUUGGUGUUUCCGUUUCAUUAUAAACGUGGGGUGACAGAGAGGCGAACUUAUAUCUCAUUCUUUGAUCCGAUCCGUAUCAAUUUGAUAAACACUAGUCAAGGAAUUCAAAAGUUAUACUACCUUUACAUAAGGAUCCCACCAGCCAUCUGCAAUAUAAUGGGACCUAAUUCUUGAAACUUAGAUAAAUCCCUAGUAUCAUAUAUAUAUGUAUAUAUAUAUAUAUAUAUAUAUACCAGGUCACAUUUUGGCCAGGCCAAUUAUAGUAAUGGCAACCAUUAAGCAGCAAUAUUGAAGUGAUCAUAUAACAGAAUCAACUAACGGCAUUCUGUCCAAUGCAUAAAUUCACAAGAUGCUCAAGAACCAAAAAGACAAACUGAACAAUUAAUUCAUUUGUUUCAUAUUUUUACAUUUUCUCAGAAACAAUAGAUAAUAAAAUCCUUCGUUUAAUAUUGAAAAGACUUAAUUUUCUCUAACAAACAUUUCAUCAAACGAGUGGUGCACGUGCACCAAAAGAAAACACAUAAUACACUAAGACCAGUAACAUCAGAAGUGUGUUUAAUAAAUGCUUCUUUGUUUUUGUUACAAACAGGAGGAAUAAAAAAAAAAAAGGCUAACCUCGAGAUUUAUCUCUCCUGAUUCCGGUGUUAAGUUUUCUCUGAGACGAAGAUCGGAGCAAAGAAAAUUGACCAAAAGAAUGGAGAAGCGGAGAGAACUUCGUCGCGGCUGAAACGCUUUAAAAGGUCGUCGUUUCGAUUGGCCAACUUGGUGGGCUUAGAUUGUAAAUCACGGGCCAAACCUUGUAGGGCCUUUAUAACAAGUGGAUCACUGGUUCAGGCGUUUCUGGAUUUGCCUUAAAUUUUCAGAUAUAAUAUUAGGCGGAAAAGAAAACUGAAAAUCUAGAGUGUAAGAAUGAUUUAGGCGAAUUGCUUAUGGAUUACAGGAUGAUUUAUUGAUUUAUUUCAAUCAAGUGCUCUCAGCAUAAAAUUGUUUGAGAAAUUGCCAGUGAGAACGUUCAUCAUUCUCCUUAUGUGGUCGUCCCUCUAUAAUCUUCAUUCCAGGGUUCAAGCCAAUAAUUUCUCGACCCAGCUCUCGUCCCAGCACAUGGGGAAUAGGCCACACUUUUUCGCCCGCAAGUUCUCCCCAUGAGUGAGAAGAAAAGCCUUGAGAUAAGUUGAUUUGUCCAGCACUCUUGUCGUCUUGAAUGUACAUGAUGGGAAAUAACGCAACCACACAUGAUCUUGGAACCUCUAUUGAGGACAGUGCCAGUAUCGGAAAUCAACCUAUAGUUGCCGUGCAUUAAAUAAAAGUCCAGGCAGAAUUGCAUAUCGUUAUUGGAGUUUGCUAGAGAGUUAUGGUCAUGGACUUCAAGAACAGCCCAAAGAGCUAACCCCUCAAAGUGUUGUCAAUCCAAUUUCCAGGCACAUUUAUUCCCACUGAAGAACCCUUGAACCCCAACUUAGACCACACUGGAAUUUCACUUCCAGUAAUAGUAAAUUCAGCAAAAGAAUGAAAUGGUACCUGUAUCAUGAAAAUUCAAGAUUGUGCAUGAGAGCCAAUGCUAUGAAAAUCAAGAUAUAGCAAUGAGUGUCAGCUCACUAGAACUAGAGUAGUCUCAGAAGUUGUAAAUUUAGAAGUUCCAACUGAAGUUGGAGCCUAAUUAACCCAGAAACAUAAAGAUCUUGAGAGAGGGACAAACCUUCACAUCUGUGAAAGGACAGCACUUUGAGUUUUGCCAAAGAGCAUAUGGAGAGUGGUGGCUGUGGCAUUGUCGUUCCACCUGCAUCGAGUUCUUCCAAAUUUUCCAGCAACUACAACUUCUCCAGUAAUCGAUUAAGAUGAGAGCAGCCAGAAAAAUAAAUAGUUCUCAGAUGCUUUAAACCAGUUCCAAAGUUGCUAGGAAGGUGUUGUAAAUGUUUAGAAUUCCUGGCACUCAAAAGAGCAAGGCCCGUAAGCUUUUCAAUCGAUGAAGGUUUCCUGUAUAGCAGUGUCAUCUAGUUGAAGCUCUGACAAGUGUUCCAUAUUGCAUUUGAUCUUAGGAAAUAUCUCAAGCUUAGAGCAUCCAGAGAGUGCAAGGAUCUCAAGAGAAGAUGUAUGGAUUUCACUUGGAAAAUUUUGAAGAUUCGAGCAGUCUUUCAGAUUUAAUAAUUUGAGGCUUGUGAGGGAACCCACAGAUGAAUGAACCUCAACUAAAUUUGUGCAGCCUUGAAGAAUUAACACCUCCAGAUUUGGCAUCCCUGUGAAAUCCGGUGUCCUAAUGAGUUUCUGGGAAUGACUUAGUUUGAUGAACUUUCAAUUUAUCAAAUUUCUGUCAAAAUAAAAAUUCAAAUCAUUUAGCCCUCAAUUUCAAAUCACAUAGACAACAACUAAAAUAGUCAACUAAUAACUAUACAUUCCUCUUCGUCCAAAACUCUGUUAUGCUGCUAUAUGACAUAUUAAGUUCAACAAGGUUUUGUGGAUAAAAAUGAAGUGGCAAAGUUUCAAAGGGAUAUCCAUGCCAACAGAGGCAUCGUAAACCAUUUGGUAAAGUAAGAAAGUCCCUAGAAAGAGUCACAUUUGAGUCUAAAGGUACUCUUGCUCCAUUUGCGCCAUUGAAGAGACUGAUAUUAGCAAAGGGCUGUUUUUGGAUAAGGUAUUCAAAGCCUCCAGAUUGGUGAGCAUAGCAAACCUUAAGCGAUCUAAGUUUGGUCAUCCUCUUGAAGAAUUCGGUAUUUAUAUGCAAAUUCUCUAUUUUAGACAAAUCUAGGAUUAUGCCCACAAGUUCUUGUGCCACCUGUAACCAAAAGCAAGGACAGUCAACAUCAUAAAGUAAUGCUAUAUCUUUAGUGGGGCAGGGGGAGCAUUGCACAUUGUAUGAUCUACUGUAAUGCAAGUGAAAAUAAACAAAUUUUGAAUGUAGUUGUUUCUUACCAUAUUGUUUGCCAACAAAGUAUAGACAUCAUUAUGAUCCCACAAUCUGGUCCAUUUGCCUGGGUCACUUUCUGGUGGAUGAACAAUUUCCCUUCCCAUUUGUUGUACUAAAUCAUGCGUCCAAAGUUUAUUAUCUAAAAUGGAGAUGAGAGACUUAUCAAUGAGGACUCUUAGAUUAGCAUGUGGGAAGAACCUACAACCUUCAAAUACUUUGACAACAUAAUCUUUAUCCUCCCCCUUAAAGAAACAUGCAAUAUCAAGAAACAUAUCUUUUUGAAAAGGAUUAUCAAGUCCAUCAAAACUUCUUUUAAGCACGUCAUUAAUUCCACUUGGAGGAGAUAUUUUAAGUUGAUGCAAUUCGUCUUGACAUUCAAGUUUAUUCUUGCCAGCUAAGUGGCCACCAAGAACCUCGAGAGCUAAAGGAACGUUCUUAGCAUACUUGAUCAUGUCGCGUGAGAGCAUCAAGAGUUCGAUGAAUUCAUCUGUUGAAUGGCAAUUCUUGAGUGCCUAUUGAGUAAAUAGCGGAAAAGAUUCUUUAUCAUUUAAAGCUUUGGCAACAUAUAUUUGAUCCACUCCAUGUGCAACAAGCAACUGUUUAUUUCUGGUUGUUAUAAUAAUUCUACUACCAGGACCGAACCAUUUAUGCUCUCCAGCUAAGGCUUUCAACUGUUUUAGAUCAUCCACAUCAUCAAGAACAACAAGAACACGCAUGUAUUGGAACCUGUCCUUUAUUGCACCAAACCUAGAGUUCUUAUUGUUUGGAUUCCUUCCCUCAAUAGUUUAGAAACAAGUCAAACCAGGUUUUCCUGCAACUUCUCUAAUACUUUCAAGAAAGCAACAACUUUCAAAUUCAGAACACAUACGGUCAUAAACAGCUCUAGCAAUGGUUGUUUUACCGUAUCCUCCCAUACCCCAUAUUCCAAUCAUGCCAACAUCAUUUGAGCCCAUACAUAAUUUUGAUUUCAUUUCCCUUAUACGGGAAUCCAUUCCAACUAGGCCUUUAGUACUAUUGCUGCUUGUACGGCUCAGUAUUUUCAAAAUAUAGAUGACAAUUUCAUCAAUAAGAAUCGCUUCAUCCCUGCCAUAGUUGGAAGAGCAGCGAAUCAAAAGAGUCAUGAAAGGGGAAAAACAAGAAGACGACUAUAAACAGCCAUUAAGAAGCUAAAAAUAGGAUUAUGCAGUUCUAAAGAAGCUCAGAAAUUAAAUAAGACUAAUCAUAAUAUGUAUUACCUGUUUCUUGUAUCCCGCCCAGAUAUGUUGCCUGCCUCUUUAAGAGCUAAUGUCCAACCUUCCACCUUCUCCGGAAAUUUCUGUUUUGACUUGUCAAACCCUUCUCCAAACCCGCCAGUUAUCUUUUUCACUUCCGAUGGGUCGACAUGGUAAAAAAUUGACAAGACUAAAUCACUUGUUUUUGAAUAUAUCUCUUCAUCUGUCUUUGUAUCUUUCUUUGGAUCUGGGAUACGUUUGGUAAUCUUCACAAGUUUAUCCAAGCAAAAAAUGGAAUCAACAUAGUUCUUAGAAAGAACUACAACUCAAAACCUUGACUCCUCAAUUGCUUGAAGAAGUGCUGGAGUGAUUGUUUCUCCUUUGUCAAGUUUCACAUCAUCUUUGAAAGUUCUAAUUCCUUUCCCAGUCAAAGCCUUGUACAGAUAGCUUAUAAAGCUAUUUCGAACGUCCUCACCUCUAAAACUCAAGAAAACAUCAUAUGUCCAAACUCGGGAAGUGGAGCCCAUAUUUGCAGUCUCAGAGAACUCAGUUCCACUUGCAGCAGCUGGCUCAGCAGCUUUUGAAGAAGAUGCUACAACAGUAGUGGCAGCAGCAACAUUCGAAGCAACAGAAUAAGAGGCCAUGGCAGCUGUUGUUGUAGAAUUCGAAGCAGUAUUAGAAGAAGAGGCCGCCACAGUCGAAGUCCCCUCAGUCGCAGCUGCAGAUGAAGAUGCUGCUACGGACACAGUUGCAGCAGCUAGAGGAGGCGCUGUCACAGUAUGAGUCUCAGCGGCCAUUGUUGUAGCGGUCUCAGUCGCAGGAACCAUAGUAGCAGCAUCUGUGACAGGAACAGUAGAAGAUACCACCGCAAUUGCAGUCGCAGCAUUUGUAGAAGAAGAAGAGGCCGCCACAGUCAAAGCCCCUUCAUUCGCAGCUGCAGAUGAAGAUGCCGCCACAGUCACCGUUGUAGCAGCUAAAGGAGGCGCUGCCACAGUAUCAGUAUCAGCAGUCGCAGGGGCCACAGUAGGAGCAUCUAUGGCAGGAGAAGUAGAAGAGACCGGUGUAGUUGCAGUCGCAGUAUUUGCAGAAGAAGAAGUGGCCGCCGCUUUACCAGUGCGGAAGGAAGAACACAUAGCAGGGUACAAAAAAUGGAAUCAGUAGGAUUUCGGAACUGAAAGUGUUUGAAAAAUUAGUUGUCUAAACGUAACCAAUACCAUAUUCGUUCGAGCAAUUUAGCAAACAAGUUAUAUUCAUGGUAAUAGAGAAGAGUUGACUCCACGAUUCACAUGCAGAAGACUUGAAAGCUCAAUAAUAUACAAUACAAUAUAUGUGUAUAUAUAUAUAUAUAUAUAUAUAUAUGUAUAUGUAUAUACAACGCUGAGUGGCAGUUGUUUACAAUUGGCCAUGUCCAUAAGAUGAUUCGUUAGCAUUUCUGCAUUAUGAGCAUUUCUUAAUUAGAAGAGGAGAAUUUAAAAAAAACAUAAAAGUUCGCCGCGUUAGGUGAUGGCAAUUUUAUAAAUUGCCAAUAGAUAUUGGGCAAAAAUAAAAUAAGGAGAGUUCUCCCUUAAGUUGUACUACACGAAGCAAUAUAUUAUAUGUAUAUUUAAUAUAUGUAUGGCUGAAUAUUCGGUCAAUUUAAAUAAUAUAUUUAAUCGAAAUAAAUUAAAAUUUUUUUAUUUAAUCCAAAUUCACAUCGUUUUGUUUAAAUUAAUUUUGAUCAUCAAUCGAACUGAAGUUAAAAAAAAUAAAAAUCUAAUUAACCGACUGAUUUAACCAAAAUUUAUGAUUAAUUAAUUCUAACCGAAAUAAAAAUUAACCGAAUUUACUUGUAACGCCUGACUCUAAUCACCAGAGGAAUGAUCCGCUUUGGAUCAAACCGAAUCCGUCGAAUCUAUCUCAUACUAUAUUAGCAGGAUCCGUACGGUUUUGUCACACAGGUGAAAUGAGAAACUUAAGCAAGCACGCUUAAUCUGGAAUUCUUCUAACUCUCUAACCAUUUCAUCAAAGGCGCCUCUAAUGAUUAGUUUCUUUCUUGUCGAUAUAUGAUUCGAUUCAUUCAUGUGUCCCACAUUCCACUAUCUAUAGCUAACCUGCCAUCCUAGAAGCUCGGGAGGACUUUAAUUCUACCCGUCUCCUUAGAAUCGCUUUGCCGGGUCGGAAUGUCACAUUACUAAUCACCACUUGAUCAAAAUAAAAACUGAAAUAUGUUUAAUUUUUUAUUUUAUUAUCUACUCAAUUAAAACAACAUAGUUUUGAGACUUGGUUAAUUUGAUUAAUUCAGUUGGUUAACUUUUAACUGAACCUUUAAUCGAUCACUAAAAAUUUAAUUUUUUUAACUGAAUAUUUAUUCAAUCAAAUUGGCUGAAUUAAUCGAAUUGGUCGAACUGAAUGCUCACUCCCUAAUCACAUGUAAAAUAGAAAUAAGAUUUGCUUAUAUCUAGUAUAUAGAUCCAUCCGAACAUUUAACUGAAGAGAUUAUUUUUAAAAUUAUUUUUAUUUUAUCUUUUCUUUUUCUCAAUGAAUGAUAAAAAUACCAUCGCUUCAAUCUAAAAUUAAUUUUGGUUGGUUUAGUAUAUGAGUCAGUUAUCGGGAGUAGAGAAAUAUUUUAUUUUUCCUAAAUUUGUGAACAAGCCUUGCCUAAACUGGUAUGAGUCCACCCAUACACCAAACCAAUCAAUGAAGGGAUUUUUUUAAAAAUGAUUUAUAGUUAUUCUCUUCUUUACCCAGUAAAUAGUUACAUAUACUUUCAUUUCAAUUAAAAAAUUAAGUUUAAUUGAUUUAAUAUAUGGGUGAGUAUGUACACCGGUAUAUAGGUAAAUCUUUCCCUUUCUCUUUGACAUUUGUUAUGAAAAAUACAAUUGCAUGUAAAUCUACAAUUCAAUAAUAAUAAAUUAUAAAUAAUACUAUUAAAUUAUUAAAAUUUAAGUAUUGCUCCCUCAGUCGCAUAAUUAAAUUAUUUACUUUUUCACCCGCAAGCCUUGGCCACGAAUGAAAAGAUCAUCCUUCAGCUGCCUCGAACUGUCCAGCUUUCUUCUCAGUUUGGAUGUACAGGCUUAGUAUUUCUAUUGAUGACAAAUUCAGUAUCAGAAUACAUCUUAUAGUUGUGCAUCAAAUAAAUUUCAAGGCCGUACUGCAUUUUUAUGGUUGAAUUGUUAUCGAAUAUUUCCUUGAUUAAUAAAGAAAGAAAUCUCUAGCCAAUCAGAUAUGAUUUUAUUGAUCUUUUAUUGAUCUUUUCACUAAUGUGAGGAGUGAGAAGUUUUAAAUUCGAGUUUUCUACGACUAUAAGAGUUUUCAAAAAAGAAAAGAAGAAACUCUCAACUCAACUAAUCUUUUGGAUACAUAAAGCAAGAUUAAAUAACAAUUAAUCGGUUCUAUAAUUAUUUACUAAAUUUCUUACUCUAUCCAUAUUUCAAAAUAUUAUUAUCCUAAUUUUAAUCUUAAUAUGUAUAAAAAUCAAAUCAGGACACAAAUUAUGGAACAUAAGGAGUAAUCAAUUUAUCACAAUAUCAUAGUAUUAUACCAUGGCUUUUGUAGUCUCUCUCUUAUAGAUACUUCUCUUGAAUUUUAAAAUUGUAUUUACAAAGUUUAAAUCUUGUUGAUUUUGUGCGGUUCUCUCUCCUUCUCUCAAAACCUAAAAUCUAAAAAUUCUCUUUUCUUCUUUUAUAGGCAGCCACCGGUGAGCUCUCACUGGUGGUCACCUCCUUGCUUUUUUUUUGGAAAUAAUCCUUAGAUUUGUUUCCAAAUCUGAUUUAUUAUCGCCUAAAUAUAGAGAUUUAUUGUUGCCAAUAUUUUGAAAUUUUAUUCUCAAAUUUAAUUCUGAAUUAUUAUUAUCACAUAAAGUCUUUUAUUAUUUGGAUAGUUACGUAAAAAAAAAAAAAGGACAUUAAGAACUUUAUCGUGACAUUAUGGCUCCAAUAGUUGGUUUUAAUGCAUUGGACGCCAGAUUUUAUAUGGAUGGAUUGGAAACCGGACUAGACGCAUUUUUUCAAAGAUUUGGUUUGAAUGCAUCGGAAGCCAGAUCUUAUUCGAAUGUAUUGGAAACCGUCGGACCAGACGCAUUUUGUCAAAAAUUUGGCCUGCCGUGGGGCUUGAACUAUACAAAUACAUAUGUAUCAACUUCAACUUGCAACUUAAAAUACCCAAUUUUCUUGAAGUGAGGGCAGGGGGCCUAUUUUCCGUCUUAAUAAAAAAUUUUAAUGGAAUAUUUUAAUUUUAAUCCCUCUUGGCUUGUAGCAACAAUGUUUUGGUUUGUAACAAUAAUGAUAUGUUUUGUACUAAGUUGGACUGUGUUCGACUCACGCCAAUGCACUUCAUCAACUUUUAUUAUUUUAGUUUUCUUUUUCCAUUUAUAUUUUUAUAGUUGACUUACGAUAUGCCAUUAACUUUAAUAUUUUUUCAUUUUUCUCUUUAUUUAUAUUUUUUUUGUUUUAAUAGUUUUUCUUUUCUUUUCUUUUUUAGUUGAUUAGACAACCACUCACACACAAUUAAUCUUUAUAAUUUAACAUUAUUUAUUAUUUUAUAAGGGCACUAAUACGAUGGAGCUUUUUAUAAACCAUUUAAUAUUUUUUUUUUAUAAAUUGUUAAAUACUCUAACAUUCAGCUUUUAAGAGUAACGUUUAAUAUUUAGCUUUUAAUUAAAUUUUUUAUUAUUUAGUUUUUAUAUAAAAGGACAUUAGAUAUUUAAUUAGCUAAAUUCGAGGAAACACAAUUUGAAUAUGAUUGUGAAAAAAAAAAAUUGAUAUCUCUAAACCACUAAACAUAUGUCACCCAAUAAUAUAAUUAAUCGAAAUAAAAUUUUAAUUUAAUCAAAAUGCUCAGCUCAAAAUUUAAUAUAUAAAGUGUCGUUUAUGUGAUAUCAUAUGGUCAGUAAAACACCAUAACAUGAUAACAUCCGUUAACGUGAAAGCAGCGUCCCUAAUGUUAAUGUUCAUCACGUGAAAAAUGGAAUUCUGCGACAUUACUCCGUUGUUUUUAUCAAUUUAUCAUUAAGUUGUUUUGUAGAGCCAUAUGUUUUUGUUACUUUUAUCCCUUUUUAUUAAAAUAUAUAUUUUAUAAUUACGUAAUAUAAUAAAUUCAGAUUCAAAUCUCUUUUUCAAUAAUAAAAAAAAUUAAAAUAUUUUUAAAUUUAAUAAGAAUUCUAAAUAUUAAUUAAAAAAUAAAAUUUUUUCUCAAUUACUAUUACUUUUAAAGACUAAUAGUUUAUUAACGAACGUAACUGAUUACAAUCUCUUCUCAUUUUUUUUAAUUAUAAAUAAUUAAACUUAUUUUAUACUAUCUUUAUUUUAUAAUAUUUAUUAUAUUGUGAUUUCAACGAGUAAUAAUUUUUUUUUAUAUUUACUAUUUAUAUAUAAUUAUUAAUUAUUAAUAAUUUUUUUAAAAAGUAAUAUUAAAUUAAAAAUAAUAUAAUUAAUUUACUCGCAUGCUUGUGUUGACCUUUCAAUAAAACCUCUCGCCGUUAGAGCGCGUAAAUAUACCUAAAAACAUAGGGCAGAGCCAAACAUGAAGGGACUUUGACACUGGCAGUCUCUCUUUCUGAUACUGCUGCGAAUUCUGCAACAAAAGCUGCGAUGGCCUCUUAUUCUGUAGCAUCUUCUUCAAAAGCUGCUGAGGCUGGAACUUCUGUUUCUGCGACUGCAGAUGUGGCUGCCGCUUCCCGAGUUUGGAGAUAUGAUGUUUUCUUGAGUUUUAGAGGUGAGGAUGUUCGGAAUAACUUUGUAAGCCAUCUGUACAAGGCUUUGACAGAAAAAGGAAUUAAAACCUGCAAAGAUGAUGUGAAACUUGACAAAGGAGAAACAAUCACUCCAUCACUCCUUCAAGCGAUUGAGGAUUCAAGGUUUUGUGUAGUAGUUUUUUCUAAGAACUAUGCUGAUUCCACUUUUUGCUUGGAUGAACUUGGGAAGAUUGUUGAACGUAUCCCAGAUCCUAAGAAAGAUACAAAGACUGAUGUACUGAAAAAUUCAAAAACAAAAGCCAGAGAUGCAGUUUUGCCAAUUUUUUACAACGUUGACCCAUCGGAGGUGAGCAAGCAAACCGGUGUAUUUGGAGAAGGAUUUGCUAAAUCAAAACUGAAAUUUCCUGAGAUGGUUGAGCGUUGGACAUUAGCUCUUACAAAGGCUGGCAACAUGUCUGGAUGGGAUGCACGAAACAGGUAAUCCAUUUUAUGAUUUUUAUUUUCGUGAUUUUGAUUAUCUAACAAACAAAUUAUGCUACAAAUUAUAUGGUUUCUGCUUAUGUCUUCUUUAAUUUCUGAGCUUGUUUAGAACUGCAUAAUCCUCUUUUGAGCUUCUUUAAUUGCUGCUUGUAGUCUUCUUCUGUUGUUUCUCUUGUAUCGACUCUUUUGAUUUUUCGCCCUUUCAACUAUGGCAGAGAGGAAGCGAUUCUUAUUGAUGAAAUAGCCAUCUGUAUUUUGGGAAAACUGAGUCAUACAAGCAUCAAUAGUACUAAAGGCCUAGUUGGAAUGGAUUUCCGUGUAAGGGAAAUGGAAUCGAAAUUACAUAUGGGGUUGGACAAUGUUCUCAUGGUUGGAAUAUGGGGCAUGGGAGGAAUCGGUAAAACAUCCAUAGCUAAAGCUGUUUAUGACCGUAUCUAUGGUGAAUUUGAAUGUUGUUGCUUUCUUCAAGGUGUUACAGAAGUUGCAAGUAAACCUGGAUUAGGUCUUUCACAUUUACAGGAGCAACUUCUUUCUAAACUACUGAAGGAAGGAAUUCAAAAAAUAAGAACUCUAGGUGACAAUUUUGAUGUAAUAAAGAACAGGUUCCAAUACAUGCGUGUUCUUAUUGUUCUUGAUGAUGUGGAUGAUAUAAAACAGUUGAGAGCCUUAGCUCGAGAGCAUGAAUGGUUCGGUCCUGGUAGUAGAAUUAUCAUAACAACUAGAGAUAAACAUCUGCUUGAGGCGCAUGGAGUGGAUCAAAGAUACGAGGCCCCACUUUUAAAUGAUAAUGAAUCUCUCACGCUAUUUACUCAACAUGCCUUCAAAAAUCACUGCUAUUCAGAUGUUGAACUCAACAACAUUUCCAAGCUCUCACACAAUGUGGUCAAGUAUGCUCAGAAUGUUCCUUUAGCUCUGGAGGUUCUUGGUUGCCACUUAGCUGGCAAGAAUGAACUUGAAUGGCUAGACGAAUUGCACCAACUUGAAAUGUGUCCUCCAAAAGGAAUUAAUGAUGUGCUUAAAAUAAGUUUUGAUAGACUUGAUAAUCGUUUCCAAAGGGAUAUGUUUCUUGAUAUUGCAUGUUUCUUUAAGGGGGAGGACAAAGAUUAUGUUGUCAAAGUAUUUGAAGGCUGUGGGUUCUUCCCACAUGCUAAUCUAAGAGUUCUCAUUGAUAAAUCUCUCAUCUCCAUUUUAGAUAAUAAACUUUGGAUGCAUGAUUUAGUACAACAAAUGGGAUGGGAAAUUGUUCGUCAACCUGAAACUGAUCCAGGCAAAUGGACCAGAUUGUGGGAUCAUAAUGAUGUCUGCACUUCGUUUGCAAACAAUACAGUAAGAAAUAAAUUCAUUGAAUUUUUUUUUUCUUUUACUUGCUUUACAGUGGAUCAUACAAUGUCCAAUUCUCCCCCCACCCCACUAAAGAUGUAGCAUAUCUAUAUGUCUUGUCUGUGCUCUUGGUUACAGGUGGCGGAAGUUGUGGGCAUAAUCCUAGAUUUGUCUAAAAUAGAGAACUUGCACAUUAACACUGAAGUCUUCGAGAGCAUGACCAAACUUAGAUUGCUUAAGGUUUGCUAUGCUUACAAAUCUGGAGGCUUUGAAUACCUUAUCCAAAAACAGCACUUUGCUAACAUCAGUCUCUCCAAAGGCACAAAUGAAGUAAGAAUACCUUUAGACUCAAAUGUGACUCUUUCUAGGGACUUUC